rnacentral:snRNA from 1 species
ACUCAUACCUGGCAGGGGAGAUAGCAUGAUUAUAAAAGUGGUUUUCCCAGGGUAAGGCUCAUCCAUUGCACUUAAGGUGCUGAUCCUUGUGAUUUCCCCAGAUGUGGGAAAAUCAACUGCCUAAUUUAUGGUAGUGCGGGACUGCGAUUGUGGUUUCCCCUA